rnacentral:lncRNA from 10 species
AUGGUGGCCUUUUCCAACCUGGCUGGGCCAAUCCAGUCACUGAACCUGAAGGAAGAUGCCAAGUUUCAGAAGAAAGUGGCACAGGUUCGCAAGCACAUAACCCAGUGAAAAAAACAAGAACAGCUUACUCCUGGAGUAGUCUAUGUGUGCCACCUACCUAACCUACUGAACAAAACCCAGAUCCUUUCCUAUUUCUCCCAGUGUGGCACUGUUACAAGGUUCAGACUAUCCAGAAAGAAAAGGACUGGAAAUAGCAAAGGCUAUGCAUGUGUGGAGUGUGAGUCUGAGGAUAUUGCCAAGAUAGUUGCUGAAACGAUGAACAACUACCUGUUUGGUGAAAGACUCUCAGAGUGUCAUUUUAUGCCACCUGAAAAAUUCAAAAAGAACUCUUUAAAGACUGGGAUAUUCCAUUUAAGCAGCCAUCAUAUCUGUCAGUGAAACAGCAUAAUCAGAAUCGGCACUUACACAAAAGCUGCGAAUAGAGGGACGAUUUAAAAAGAAAGAAAGAUUACUCAGGAAGAAAUUAGCUUAUAAAGGAAUUGAUUAUGAUUUUCCUUCUUUGAUUUUACAGAAAAUGGAAAGUAUUUCAAAAACGAAUCAUCUGAUGUCUACAAAAGGCCACGUUUUACGUAAGAAGAAGAAAAAGGUUUUAGGCAUUCCUGACACUCCUGAGAAGACUGUGGAUACCCAGGGCCCCACACCGGUUUGUACAUCAACAUUUUUGGAGAGACAAAAAUCUGAAGUGGCUGAAAUGAAUGAUGAUGAUGAAGAUAAUGAAAUAGUUUUUGAAAAGCCCAUAUCCUGUGUAAAAGAAGAAAUACAAGAGACUCAAACACCUACACAUUCACAGAAAAAAAGACAAAGCAUUCAGUGA